AUAGUAUAGCGGAGAGGCAUCUCUCUGUUAUUAAAGAUUUAUCACUUGAAGAUGGCUGUGCGGCUGAUUAGGUAGUUGGCGGGGUAACGGCCCACCAAGCCUGCGAUCAGUAACUGGUGUGAGAGCACGACCAGUCACACGGGCACUGAGACACGGGCCCGUACUCCUACGGGAGGCAGCAGUAAGGAAUAUUGGUCAAUGGACGAAAGUCUGAACCAGCCAUGCCGCGUGGAGGAUGAAGGUCCUCUGGAUUGUAAACUUCUUUUAUAUGGGACGAAAAAAGGUCUUUCUAGAUCGUCUGACGGUACCAUAUGAAUAAGCACCGGCUAACUCCGUG
rnacentral:rRNA from 1 species